UUGUGCCAAAGUCAGAAAUAAAUAUGUUAAAUAAGACUGGUCCGAAGACCGAUCCCUGAGGAUCUCCACUAGUAAUCUCUCUCCAGCCUGACAAGUGAUCAGAGGGGUAGCCAUUUU